rnacentral:rRNA from 1 species
GAUGAACGCUGGCGGCGUGCCUAAUACAUGCAAGUCGAGCGAACAGACGAGGAGCUUGCUCCUCUGACGUUAGCGGCGGACGGGUGAGUAACACGUGGAUAACCUACCUAUAAGACUGGGAUAACUUCGGGAAACCGGAGCUAAUACCGGAUAAUAUAUUGAACCGCAUGGUUCAAUAGUGAAAGACGGUUUUGCUGUCACUUAUAGAUGGAUCCGCGCCGCAUUAGCUAGUUGGUAAGGUAACGGCUUACCAAGGCGACGAUGCGUAGCCGACCUGAGAGGGUGAUCGGCCACACUGGAACUGAGACACGGUCCAGACUCCUACGGGAGGCAGCAGUAGGGAAUCUUCCGCAAUGGGCGAAAGCCUGACGGAGCAACGCCGCGUGAGUGAUGAAGGUCGUCGGAUCGUAAAACUCUGUUAUUAGGGAAGAACAAAUGUGUAAGUAAAUAUGCACGUCUUGACGGUACCUAAUCAGAAAGCCACGGCUAACUACGUG